ensembl:lncRNA
AUAAGUCCCCCCGCUCUUUGGCUCUUUGUUUUGCAGUUGGAGCCGCUGCACGCGCUGGGCGGGACUGGGAGUGAAGUGAAGAAGGCGCGGCCGAGCUACAGUACACCCCCCCCUCCACCCCACUUCACUUCACACGUGUAGACAAAGGGAGCCAUCAACACAGCCAGCAGAGCAGCACCAACACGACUUCUUCCCCCACAGUCCAGCCUCCAACUAACUUCAGCCAGGAGCCCGGAUCUCCUCAGAGCCCGCAGAUCUAUGGGACCCAGAAGAAAACUUAAUGACGAUCGGGACACCUGUGUUCAACUUUUGGAUUUUGGAUAAUAAUGACUUUUGCACGGCAGCACUGCUAGGAUUACUCUUCCUGAUUGGGAUACUGCUUUUCUAUUGGAUUACUUUACCAUUUCUACACACCAAAUAGAUGCCAAUCUCGAGUCCAGCAUCUGCAGGAGGGAAGCAGACAGUGAGGUCCUGAAUGGAAGCGAUAGGGGAAGAGAUCAGCGGCCCGGCUGUAAUUAAGAGAGACGAGACCGAGAAACUGCUUUUUUUUUUGGUGAGAUGUGCCGGACCUCCAUUCAUCACCAGUGGUUCAGCUUUGCUGCAAACAGAAGCAGUUUGUGGGAGAAACACUGAGACCCUCAGAAGGAGGAGGAUGAGGAGGAGUCCAGGAUCAGCAAAGGGGAGCAGAAGGGGAGCAGAAGAAGCCUCCACCCCCUGAGGCAGAGCAACCCCGGGUCGGCUUCAUCCCAACCCCUUCCACUCUAUUAUCACUCCUGUUGCUACAGGGCGCUGAGCCGUGGAGAACUUUCACCCCGGACUUAUUUUCAAAGGUGGCCUCUUAACACCACCCCCUAUGACCACUACCAUCACUACCAACACUUCUCUAUAUAUAUUUUUUUGUCUAGACCCUUUAGAUUCCCCCCCUUAGAGGACUAAUACAACCUUAUGUUUUAUUUCUAUUCAUCUCUUAUUAUAUAUACAGUAUAUUGGAGGGAGGAAACUUUAUUGUUAAUACAGUUACAGUAUAUAUAUAUUUAUAUAUAUAUAGGGGUUGGACAAGGAAAUGGAAACACCUGUCAUUUUAGUGUGGGAGUUUUCAUGGAUAAAUUGGACCAGCCUGGUGGCCAAUCUUCAUUAACUGCACAUUGCACCAGUAAGAGCAGAGUGUGAAGGUUCUAUUAGCAGGAUAAGAGGACAGUUUUGCUCAAAAUAUUGCAAUGCACACAACAUUAUGGGUGACAUGCCAGAGUUCAAAAGAGGCAAAUUUUUGGUGCACUUCUUGCUGGUGCAUCUGUGACCAAGACAGCAAGUCUUUGUGAUGUAUCAAGAGCCACGGAAUCCAGGGUAAUGUCAGCAUACCACCAAGAAGGACGAACCACAUCCAACAGGAUUAACUGUGGACGCUGUAAGAGGAAGCUGUCUGAAAGGGAUGUUCGGGUGCUAACCCGGAUUGUAUCCAAAAGGUCAAAUCACGGCAGAAUUCAAUGUGCACCUCAACUCUCCUGUUUCCACCAGAACUGUCCGUCGGGACAAUAAGUUAUUUUCAGUUUCAUUGUCCAACCCCUGUAUGUGCAGUACAUUGGACGUGCAGCGCAGAUGUAAUAAACGGAGUCAUGCGUCUAUAAGCA